UACAGAGGAUGCAAGCGUUAUCCGGAAUGAUUGGGCGUAAAGCGUCUGUAGGCGGCUUUUUAAGUCCGCCGUCAAAUCCCAGGGCUCAACCCCGGAUCUGCGGUGGGUACGGGCAGACUAGAGUGAUGUAGGGGAGACUGGAAUUCCUGGUGUAGCGGUGAAAUGCGCAGAUAUCAGGAGGAACACCGAUGGCGAAGGCAGGUCUCUGGGCAUUAACUGACGCUGAGGAGCGAAAGCAUGGGGAGCGAACAGG
rnacentral:rRNA from 1 species